rnacentral:rRNA from 1 species
GACGAACGCUGGCGGCGUGCCUAAUACAUGCAAGUUGAGCGCUGAAGGUUGGUACUUGUACCAACUGGAUGAGCAGCGAACGGGUGAGUAACGCGUGGGGAAUCUGCCUUUGAGCGGGGGACAACAUUUGGAAACGAAUGCUAAUACCGCAUAAAAACUUUAAACACAAGUUUUAAGUUUGAAAGAUGCAAUUGCAUCACUCAAAGAUGAUCCCGCGUUGUAUUAGCUAGUUGGUGAGGUAAAGGCUCACCAAGGCGAUGAUACAUAGCCGACCUGAGAGGGUGAUCGGCCACAUUGGGACUGAGACACGGCCCAAACUCCUACGGGAGGCAGCAGUAGGGAAUCUUCGGCAAUGGACGAAAGUCUGACCGAGCAACGCCGCGUGAGUGAAGAAGGUUGUCGGAUCGUAAAACUCUGUUGGUAGAGAAGAACGUUGGUGAGAGUGGAAAGCUCAUCAAGUGACGGUAACUACCCAGAAAGGGACGGCUAGCUACGUG